rnacentral:lncRNA from 1 species
CGGCGAACCGCGCAGUGCGCUUCUUCUGCCUGCAGCAGAGAAAAGGAAAGAAAACUCCGCAGGGGCUCCGUUGGCUUCUUCACGAGUGACAACCAUGUUUUCCCAGAUAGAAGACCGGAGCCCUGCUCCUUUGCGAUCCGCCGAGGGCUGCAGAGAGCAUCCUCAUCCAUUUGGGCACCCCUGCCCAGGAAGAGCCCGGCCAUCCCUUUCCAGACUGGAUCCUUAAGAGGUGAAUUUUCUUCCGUGGAUUCCGAUUUGCUCCGUCUGACCAGCCUAGGCAAUCCAGCAUCGCGUGGUACCAGUGCCGCUGGGCACACUCGCUUCACGCCGGCUCCGCCUCACCAGCAAGCGCAUUCCCAGAUAAAACACUAACUCAGAGAAGAAAUUUAACUGCAGAUUUGGUUAAUGACCUUGGAUUCCAAAUGAGAAGAAAACCUAGACACUGAGAGUUUAGAAUAAACUCAAGAAUCUUAAAAAUUUUCCCAUUGAACUGCCUUUGCACCUCUAUAAAAAAUUAAUUGACCAUAUGGUAAGUAACAUGUGAGUUUACAUUGAGG